rnacentral:lncRNA from 1 species
UAUUUGGAUUUGAACAUCUUUGUACGUCAAAUUUAGUUGAGUGAGUUGUUGGUUGAAUAGUAUAAUUUAACGGGUGAAAACAGUCAAACAGUUAAAUCUAACGACGAAAAACUAGAUAGUAUCAAGUGCUUGGUGCUAUAUAUAUAUAUAUAUAUAUAUAUAGUCCUGCUACUAUCCUAUUAAUAGGAUUGGGACCAUUGUCCUAUCAAAUGGUUUUGAAUGAUCGACACUCCAAAUUGAUAAUCGGCACCGUUGAAAUUGAUCUACACUAUAAGAAAUAUUUAAAAACCGAAUUUUAUAAUUUUUAAAAAUCAUUACCAAAUCUAUCGAAGAGUCGAAAAAAUGAACGGUCAUAAAUGAAUAACCUUCUUAAAAUAGAGGUUAGACUUUUUCAAAUCAUGAUCAGAGUUAUCAAAUAUUAUUUAAAUAGUAUAAAAAAAAUUUUAUCAAAAAUUCAAGCAAUUUAGAUUACUCUACACCGUUAAAUAAGCAAACGGCUCAUAUAGGCCGUCAAAAAUUAUCGAUUUUACGACACUUUGAUUACCAUGUAAAUAAUUUUUAAAAUUUAUGAAAUUUUGUUUCUACAUAUUUCAAAUAUUCUAGAUCAACUUCAACGGCUCCGAUCAUCGAUUCGGAAUCUCUAUGCUUUCGAAAGUAUGGAGGUCUCCGUGCUUGUAAGUUGUUUUCGAUGAUGGGACAUCCGAUUUGGCGAUCGGUUUCGUUAGACAUGAUUUACGCUAUUAGAACUAGCUAGAAACCAAAUUUCAUAAACUUUUGAUUUCGCUUAUCUAGAAAAUGAGAAGCCUCAAAAUGAAUGGCUGAAAAUAAAAAUCUCAUAAAAAACAGUGAUAAAGGACAUAAAUUUCAAAUCGGAAGUAUUGGACUUGCUAUUGAUGUUAAGUAGAAUUUUUUAUUAGAUUUUCAUCUAAUUUGGAUACUUCUACACCGUUGAACUUAAAAACAUGCCACAUCGGCCGUUAAAAUAGUCAUUUUUGAGACUUUUUGAUCGCUUGGUAAAUAAUGUCAAAAAAUUAUAAAAUUUGGUUUCUAAAUAAUUCCAAUAGAGUAGAUUAUAUUUAACGUAGCGAUCGUUGAAUUGGAUUUCCUAUCAUCGAAAACAACUUACAAGCAUGGAGGUCUCCGUACUUUUGAAAGUACA